rnacentral:rRNA from 1 species
UGGGGAAUAUUGCACAAUGGGCGCAAGCCUGAUGCAGCCAUGCCGCGUGUGUGAAGAAGGCCUUCGGGUUGUAAAGCACUUUCAGCGAGGAGGAAGGUGGUGAGCUUAAUACGCUCAUCAAUUGACGUUACUCGCAGAAGAAGCACCGGCUAACUCCGUGCCAGCAGCCGCGGUAAUACGGAGGGUGCAAGCGUUAAUCGGAAUUACUGGGCGUAAAGCGCACGCAGGCGGUUUGUUAAGUCAGAUGUGAAAUCCCCGGGCUCAACCUGGGAACUGCAUUUGAAACUGGCAAGCUAGAGUCUCGUAGAGGGGGGUAGAAUUCCAGGUGUAGCGGUGAAAUGCGUAGAGAUCUGGAGGAAUACCGGUGGCGAAGGCGGCCCCCUGGACGAAGACUGACGCUCAGGUGCGAAAGCGUGGGGCAGCAAACAGGAUUAGAUACCCUGGUAGUCCAGCGCUGUAAACGAUGUCGAUUUGGAGGUUGUGCCCUUGAGGCGUGGCUUCCGGAGCUAACGCGUUAAAUCGACCGCCUGGGGAGUACGGCCGCAAGGUUAAAACUCAAAUGAAUUGACGGGGUC